rnacentral:misc_RNA from 1 species
AACGCAAAUUGCACUCUCUGGUAUUCCGGAGAGUAUGCCUGUUUGAGUGUCUUGAAGUCAUCAACCCCUCCCGUUUCGUGCGGUGAGGUGUGUUGGAGCUGGGGGCUUUGCGGCCGUGAGGUUCGCUCCCCUCAAAUGCUUCGGUUGGGCCUGCGGGUCGAACUUGGUUUGGGCGUUGUACCAUCCUCGCUCCUGUCCGAGACGUUCCUGCCUACGAGAGCCCUCCCAUGACCGCCUGUAGGGCAGCGGUCGCUUCUUUUGAAAUCUGACCUCAAAUCAGGUAGGACUACCCGCUGAACUUAA